rnacentral:rRNA from 1 species
GUAUGAGAGUAACUGUUCAUACGUUGACGGUAUUUAACCAGAAAGUCACGGCUAACUACGUGCCAGCAGCCGCGGUAAUACGUAGGUGGCAAGCGUUAUCCGGAUUUAUUGGGCGUAAAGAGAGUGCAGGCGGUUUUCUUAAGUCUGAUGUGAAAGCCUUCGGCUUAACCGGAGAAGUGCAUCGGAAACUGGAUAACUUGAGUGCAGAAGAGGGUAGUGGAACUCCAUGUGUAGCGGUGGAAUGCGUAGAUAUAUGGAAGAACACCAGUGGCGAAGGCGGCUACCUGGUCUGCAACUGACGCUGAGACUCGAAAGCAUGGGUAGCGAACAGGAUUAGAUACCCUGGUAG